AUUCUGCUUGAAAAAUGCAGCUUCUUGUCAGGAGCUCUCUUCAGAAAUGUGCAGCUUGGAUGCCAAAAGCAUUUUGUUAACAGGAAAAUUAUUAAUGUGAAACUGCAAAUGAAAAGGCAGAGAAAUGCCUCUGCAGAGGAUAAUACACAACAUGGCCAAAGGAUUAAACAGCCCAAGGAGAGAGCACCAUUUGUAUAUUCUGCUACAAGGUGUUUUUUUGGUAUGUGUUGUGACUAGCUGUUGUCACCUUCAAGCUGUAUAUUAAGCUGCCUGCAGUGGAAGUUUAUCCAAUUUAAUAUUACCAGAACUGGACCCUUAAGAAGGACAAUGAAAGACCUAAAUGGAGGCACAGAGACCCUGCUGCAAAACCCACUGUGGGCACACACACGCAGAUCUCAUUUUCCUGUUCUUUGCGUCCCCCAGCUGCAGCUCAGCACUUCAACAUGUAA